rnacentral:rRNA from 1 species
GAUGAACGCUGGCGGCGUGCUUAACACAUGCAAGUCGAACGGAAAGGCCGAAGCUUGCUUCGGUACUCGAGUGGCGAACGGGUGAGUAACACGUGGGUGAUCUGCCCUGUACUUCGGGAUAAGCUUGGGAAACUGGGUCUAAUACCGGAUAUGACGAUCUCUUGGAUGGGGUUGUGGAAAGCUUUUGCGGUAUGGGAUGAGCUCGCGGCCUAUCAGCUUGUUGGUGGGGUAAUGGCCUACCAAGGCGUCGACGGGUAGCUGGCCUGAGAGGGUGUACGGCCACAUUGGGACUGAGAUACGGCCCAGACUCCUACGGGAGGCAGCAGUGGGGAAUAUUGCACAAUGGGCGCAAGCCUGAUGCAGCGACGCCGCGUGGGGGAUGACGGCCUUCGGGUUGUAAACUCCUUUCGCAAUCGACGAAGCCUUUUGGUGACGGUAGGUUGAGAAGAAGCACCGGCUAACUACGUG